AACUCUGUAUUCAAAUGGGUCAGUGUGUCUGGCUGUUAACCAGAAGGUUGGUGGUUCGAAUCCACCCAGGGGUG